ensembl:ncRNA lncRNA:CR45704 long non-coding RNA:CR45704
UUUCAACGUUGGCUAUGACCACUUGGACCGGCUGCAAAACGCAGCGCCCUGAUUAAACUCUUUCACCUCCCCAGGCCCAUAUUAAUGGUGUUCCACCGUAGCGAACACCAUUAAGCGGCCAAAUUCAACCAAGGCGACAACUUGGAUGCUGAGAUGCUGGGAUGCGGGGAUGCUGAAGCUUGUCACUUGUCAAUUGUUUGUCAUGUGACAUAUAUGUGAGUGAUAUAUAAACACACAACGACUGAGGAGAUGGUGCUGUGUCGCCAGGCGAGUAUUCUACACAUGCACUUAGUGAAAAUGCUCUCGUACUUAGCGGCAUGCACUCCCGGUUUUUUGGUGCCAACUUGCCGUUCUGCUCUGCUGUGCUCAUUCACUCAUUUCGGUGCCUUGCGUGUUUUUUGUCAGCCAAAUUUAUUGCUUAUUUGUAUCGGUCCACUACCUCAAUGGAGGGGAACUUUGGCGGGAAUGUUAGCCUCAGUACAUCGCAGCGAUGGUUUAUUUUUCAUAUUUUUCAGAUUGUCAGUGAUAUAUCAUCGGACAAGUGGUGGCAACAUCACCAUCCGUCGGUGCCACUUCCGCUCAUUCCUUUCAAGAAUCUGCAAGGAAUCAAUCAACUCUAGGCAUCUACACAUACUGUCGGCUCUAUUUCUUAAGUUUGACACGCGGUUGUGCG